GAGGUGGAGCUUUGAGGAAGUGGGAACCAGAGGAGCACGAAGAAGGAUCCUGGGGAGAGAGAGAGUCCCUGCUCUGAGGGAGGGGAAACAACCAACCCACUGCCACUAAGGGAAAAAAUAACAAAUUCAGUAAAUCAGAAGAGAUCAUCAGGCCAUUGUGUCUGUAUGCAGAGAACUGCUUAUUGUGUUGGCAGCUCCACAGGUCUAAAGGUUUAUCUGUAAGUGGGCUGGAGAAGAGAAUUGAAGGCACACAAGUCAAAGAUUACAGUUUGAGAUAAGAAGAGCUUACUGGAAGCAGCAGUGGAAUAAGCAAACCAACAAUAACAGCUACAACAUAGAUAAUAAACUGAUGUUACCCAAAUUCUCCUUUCAUCAUGACCAGCCACUCCUUCCCUGCUCCCAAAAAAUGACCAGAGGUUGUGUAAAAUACCCUCUGUGCCUAAGCCUGUCCCUCCUGGCUACUGCAAAAAUUAACCCCAUUGUGGCCAAAACCAUGACAUUACCAGAUUAUUCUGUCCUAUUUGCUUCAUGCCCAAAUCCUAUACUUUCUAGCUAUGUUUGUGUAGACGCAAGCACAGGUAACAUUUCCACAGUCAAUGGCUGUUCCUCCAAGAUGUCUGAGUUCACUCAGCCCAUGCCUGGGUUUUAUCCAUCCUAGAGGUUUCCCAGGGCAGGAGGGCUGGUGUGGUGUCAGCUGGAGCAGUCCAUACACCUUGUCCAUGGUAGUUAUGGCAGACAGUGGCAGUGUCAUUCAGCAUGCUCUUAUCCCCAGUUCCACAGUCCUGGGUGCUCCUCUCAAGUCUCCCUGGGUACUUUUUGCCGGAGACCCCAGAAAGGAAGGAUAAUUCUCCUCGGCUGCAGUGUAAAGCACAUUUUUCACUUCCUGUUCUGAACUGUCCAAGGGCUGCUGCAUGAACAGUCUCCUCUUUGCCUCAUUCAGAAGUGUAGCAGUGUGUCUCAUCCCUCACAAGAGCUUAUCUGUUGUUUGUUAACCCGUCAGAUAACCCAGACAGGACAAGCUGCCUUGCUGUUAUUUUGGUGCCGUGGGGUUAACACUGCUCUGGCAUUUCCCUGCCGCCAGCAAAGGUCUUACUGUAGAAGUGAGAUCUGUCAGGAUAAGCCAGUUUUUUGUCUGACAGACACCUCACUUUGCGAACUCUACAAGCCGCACAGAUGUUGCUGGACUAUGGUUUUUCCAUUUGAAAAUAACUUCUAAGUUUCUGCCCUUAAUCCACAUGAUGUAAGUUAAGUUGCUCUUACCAAUGAUGCAGUGUAUAAUUUCAAUUCUCUAAUAAUUUUUCACCUACGCUUCUUGUGUGCCACUUUUUAUGGAGGAAUCCAGACAAACAGAGCAUGAGGAUUAUGUAAUGUUUAUACUUAGCUUGAGAGUUUCCUCAGUUCAUAACAAGGUAUCUGGGACUCAAAUGGGAAAAUCAUUGCCACUGGUAUUCCCACUGAUGCUAGUUUAUCUUCUGAUUUUUUUUUUUUUAAAUUGAUGGAGAGAAUUUGCUCAAAAUAUCUGUAUUGGUCUUUUGGCUUAUUUGUCCUUGAGGAAACAGAUUUUACAUCAG